UACGUAGGUGGCGAGCGUUGUCCGGAUUUACUGGGCGUAAAGGGCGUGCAGGCGGUUUGUUAAGUGCAGAGUGAAAGCUCCCGGCUCAACUGGGAGAGGUCUUUGCAUACUGGCAAACUCGAGGGAGGCAGAGGAAAGUGGAAUUCCCGGUGUAGUGGUGAAAUGCGUAGAGAUCGGGAGGAACACCCGUGGCGAAGGCGGCCAACUGGGCCGGACCUGACGCUGAGGCGCGAAGGCGUGGGGAGCGAACGGG
rnacentral:rRNA from 1 species